CGCCCACUAAGGAGUCAGCUAGAUGCCCUGAAUGAGGUAGAAAAGUAUUCCCAGAUGUGUGUUCCCCCGCUCCAACCGCUCCCCACCACCCCCAGCAGAACCAUCAAGAGAGGAGGCUGGGCAACGCAGAGGAAAUAAGACAUUUUCAAAGACACACGCCAGAGUUGCGGAAUUGCUAGUGCUGUCAAGAUAUUCAAGAACAACAGUGGAACAGGAAGAACACCCCAGAAAAUAAAACCAAGAGCUGUAGAAACCAGUGAACUGAGCUCUCAGACAGCAGAACUGGGGUUUAUCAGGGAAUUUCUUUUUUGUUACUGCAACAAAGCUAACUCAGUCUAUUUACUGAGAAACCAGAAUACAGCUAUAAGAUGAAAUAGUUAUAUACAUCUGUUAAUUAGUUUUAACAACAUAUUAAGAAUCCCUGAUUUAAACAGAUUUUACUUUAGCCAUAUGUAAGAUUGACUAGAGUAAAAAUAUGUAAGAACUGG
rnacentral:lncRNA from 1 species